rnacentral:rRNA from 1 species
AGAGUUUGAUCCUGGCUCAGGAUGAACGCUAGCGGCAGGCCUAAUACAUGCAAGUCGAACGGUAAAUAUUUAGCAAUAAAUAUGAGAGUGACGUACGGGUGCGUAACACGUAUGCAACCUACCCUUUACAGGCGGAUAGCUCGGGGAAACUCGAAUUAACCCGCCGUAAUAUAAUUGGAUGGCAUCAUCUGGUUAUUAAAUCUACGGAGGUAAAGGAUGGGCAUGCGUCUGAUUAGUUAGUUGGCGGGGUAACGGCCCACCAAGACGAUGAUCAGUAGGGGAACUGAGAGGUUGAUCCCCCACACUGGCACUGAGAUACGGGCCAGACUCCUACGGGAGGCAGCAGUAGGGAAUAUUGGUCAAUGGAUGGAAGUCUGAACCAGCCAUGCCGCGUGCAGGAAGAAGGCCUUCUGGGUUGUAAACUGCUUUUGCCAGGGGAUAAAAUGACCUUGCGAGGUUAAUUGAAGGUACCUGGUGAAUAAGCCACGGCUAACUACGUGCCAGCAGCCGCGGUAAUACGUAGGUGGCAAGCGUUGUCCGGAUUUAUUGGGUUUAAAGGGUGCGUAGGCGGCUUAUUAAGUCAGUGGUGAAAUACUCUAGCUCAACUAGAGGGGUGCCAUUGAUACUGAUGAGCUUGAGUACAGAUGAGGUAGGCGGAAUUGACGGUGUAGCGGUGAAAUGCUUAGAUAUCGUCAAGAACACCUAUAGCGAAGGCAGCUUACUAGGCUGUAACUGACGCUGAGGCACGAAAGUGUGGGGAUCAAACAGGAUUAGAUACCCUGGUAGUCCACACUGUAAAACGUUGAUUACACGCUGUGUGCGAUAUACAGUACGCGGCCAAGCGAAAGCGAUAAGUAAUCCACCUGGGGAGUACGCCGGCAACGGUGAAACUCAAAGGAAUUGACGGGGGUCCGCACAAGCGGUGGAGCAUGUGGUUUAAUUCGAUGGUACGCGAGGAACCUUACCUGGACUAGAAUGCCCUUGACCGAUCCAGAGAUGGAUUUUUCCGCAAGGACAAGGAGCAAGGUGCUGCAUGGCCGUCGUCAGCUCGUGCCGUGAGGUGUUGGGUUAAGUCCCGCAACGAGCGCAACCCCUAUUUUUAGUUGCCAACAGGUUAAGCUGGGGACUCUAAAAAGACUGCCCGCGCAAGCGGAGAGGAAGGAGGGGACGACGUCAGGUCAUCAUGGCCCUUACGUCCAGGGCUACACACGUGCUACAAUGGCGUAUACAGAGUGUUGCAAACCAGCGAUGGUAAGCCAAUCACAAAAAGUACGUCUCAGUUCGGAUUGCAGGCUGCAACUCGCCUGCAUGAAGUUGGAAUCGCUAGUAAUCGCGCAUCAGCAAUGGCGCGGUGA